rnacentral:rRNA from 1 species
AGUGAACGCUGGCGGUAGGCCUAACACAUGCAAGUCGAACGGCAGCACAGAGGAGCUUGCUCCUUGGGUGGCGAGUGGCGGACGGGUGAGGAAUACAUCGGAAUCUACUCUGUCGUGGGGGAUAACGUAGGGAAACUUACGCUAAUACCGCAUACGACCUACGGGUGAAAGCAGGGGAUCUUCGGACCUUGCGCGAUUGAAUGAGCCGAUUUCAGAUUAGCUAGUUGGCGGGGUAAAGGCCCACCAAGGCGACGAUCCGUAGCUGGUCUGAGAGGAUGAUCAGCCACACUGGAACUGAGACACGGUCCAGACUCCUACGGGAGGCAGCAGUGGGGAAUAGUGGACAAUGGGCGCAAGCCUGAUCCAGCCAUACCGCGUGGGUGAAGAAGGCCUUCGGGUUGUAAAGCUCUUUUGUUGGGAAAGAAAUCCAUCUGGUUAAUACCCGGGUGGGAUGACGGUACCCAAAGAAUAAGCACCGGCUAACUUCGUGCCAGCCGCCGCGGUAA